GCAAGUCGAGCGAGGAGAUCCUUCGGGAUGAUCCUAGCGGCGGACGGGUGAGUAACACGUGGGCAACCUGCCUCAUAGAGAGGAAUAGCCUUCCGAAAGGGAGAUUAAUACCUCAUAACAUUGCAGUUUCGCAUGGAACAGCAAUUAAAGGAGUAAUCCGCUAUGAGAUGGGCCCGCGGCGCAUUAGCUAGUUGGUGAGGUAACGGCUCACCAAGGCGACGAUGCGUAGCCGACCUGAGAGGGUGAUCGGCCACAUUGGGACUGAGACACGGCCCAGACUCCUACGGGAGGCAGCAGUGGGGAAUAUUGCACAAUGGGGGAAACCCUGAUGCAGCAACGCCGCGUGAGUGAUGACGGCCUUCGGGUUGUAAAGCCCUGUCUUCAGGGACGAUAAUGACGGUACCUGAGGAGGAAGCCACGGCUAACUACGUGCCAGCCGCCGC
rnacentral:rRNA from 1 species